rnacentral:tRNA from 1 species
GUGCUUGUGGUGUAAUGGUUAUUACAUCCGUCUAACACACGAAAGGUCCCAGGUUCGAUCCCUGGCAGGCAUA